UACGUAGGGCGCAAGCGUUAUCCGGAAUUAUUGGGCGUAAAGAGCUCGUAGGCGGUUUGUCGCGUCUGCCGUGAAAGUCCGGGGCUCAACUCCGGAUCUGCGGUGGGUACGGGCAGACUAGAGUGAUGUAGGGGAGACUGGAAUUCCUGGUGUAGCGGUGAAAUGCGCAGAUAUCAGGAGGAACACCAAUGGCGAAAGCAGCUUUCUGGGACGGUACUGACGCUGAGACGCGAAAGCGUGGGGAGCGAACAGG
rnacentral:rRNA from 1 species